GUCCAGAUAAAAACAUUGUAUGGCUCAAUAAUCUUCACCAAACUUGAUGCAUCAGAUGAAGUCUUUGACUAUCUAGAAAGGGAUUUUGUAAGCUAGUACUGGACAUGAAGACAGUCACUUGGAAAUGAUGAUUGUGCAACAGCGGUUAAACAUAUGCAAUACAUCAUAUGGUGACCAGACAGGGAGAAAACUAGGGAAAUGGUUAUCCACCAACAGCCCAAGUGCUUGGUUGUUAAGAGGAGCCACAGCAUUAAACAUUACUGCACAAAGUGGUGUGCUUUGCUAACACUUAUGAUUGUGAUUUGAUAAAAAAGCAAUGAAUGAACGCUCAUUAUUCAUAACUAUAACUAAAACAUUGAUGUCAAAAGUUGUCAAUUUUCAACAUAUAUAGUAUUUGAGAUCCUGAUCUAUAGUUGUGUGCAAUGGAUUAU